UUAGGUGGGUGGUCAGCGAGGAGGCCUCCCUGAGAGGGUGACCCUGGAGCAGAGAGCUUCUCCUUCAUCGACAACCCGCUCAGGAUCUGGGAGCAAAGCCUGUCUGACCCUGCAGGCCGGGCGGGACAUCCUGCUAGUGACCCACUGCCUUUGAGCGCCCCUUCUUCUUGGCUCCGGGCUGCCUGGUCCAGCCACCUUUGAACCAUGUGAACUUGGACGAUUUGAUGAGCCUUUCUUUGCCUCAGUUUCCUCAUCUGCUAAAUGGGGUAAAAUGGUACCUGCCUCCAUGGCGGCUGUUGUCACUGAUCACAUCUGGCAAGUCCUGAGCACACCAGAAAUGGGUCUGGAUUCAUCAUCGGCAUGAUUGUGUUUAUCUCAUUUUUAUUUUCUUUGUCCCUCUCGAUGCACUGACCACUGAGCCUCGUCCAAUCGUCUGGAAACGGAAAUGGGAGGAUCUUCCCAGGGAAGCUUGGGCAAGACCCGGGGGUGAGGACAGUGCUCUGCGGUCUUUCCAACCGCCGAGCGGGAAUGAGACAAGUCCAGAUGCCGCAGUCAUUGGUUCCCAUCCAUUUUCAACUGACCGCCACAGACAAGGCGCCAUCGGGGUUUAGAGCCAGGGCUUUGACAUGUGGUGGUCCAAGCUCGAAUCCCAGUUCGGCCGCCGCGCUGCUAGCUGGAGGGCGACCCUAAUGCUGGUGAGGUGGCAUCUGCCACAUCAAUGAAGUUGACUCCCCAGGAAAUUGAGGAGCAACAAGACAGAAGGCAACUGGUCCCCCUGGACUUUCUGUCUGCCACUGGACCUGAGAGAGAAGCAAGCUUCCCUUCCAGCUGGAUCAUUGUAUUUCUGGGCCUUUUUGUUUCAGCAGCGCUUAUGUCUGUUACAGAUGACAAAUGCAAAGCCUUGCUAAGUGGCUGUGGCUGCAGCCCUGC